rnacentral:rRNA from 1 species
AUUGAACGCUGGCGGCAGGCCUAACACAUGCAAGUCGAGCGAUCGGCGGACGGGUGUGUAAUGUAUGGGGCUCUGCCCGAUAGAGGGGGUUACCUAUUGGAAACGGUGGCUAAUCCCGCUAACCAUCAGAUGUGCCAAGAUGGGUUUAGCUAGUAGGUGGGGUAAUGGCUCACCUAGGCGACGAUCCCUAGCUGGUCUGAGAGGAUGAUCAGCCACACUGGAACUGAGACACGGCCCAGACUCCUACGGGAGGCAGCAGUGGGGAAUAUUGCACAAUGGGCGCAAGCCUGAUGCAGCCAUGCCGCGUGAAUGAAGAAGGCCUUCGGGUUGUAAAGUUCUUUCGGUGGCGAGGCGUUAACUACAGAAGAAGCACCGGCUAACUCCGUGCCAGCCGCCGCGGUAAUAC